rnacentral:lncRNA from 1 species
AGAAGAUCAGUUUUCUUUGGGACACAAUAAGGCAAAAACUUAACCUAUUUCUUUUCUCCAGCGGCUCCUGUCAUGCAACAAACUCCUUUCUGGAGAAAAUAGCAAGCCAUUAGCUGCCUGAGCAGAGACUUCCUGCCCGGAGGACAUGGGGAGAAGGAACGGCUCUAAGUGGAUCCUCUGCAGCAGAAAAUCUCGUUUAGAAUAAUAACCCAAAGUUGUGUCUCCUGAGAGGCUGUGCAUAUGCUGGAGGCUUUGCAGGUCACAAUGAAGUGAUAUUUCAGUUUUAUUUCCAGCAACCUGAAUGAACCAAGUCCUUUGAAGCUCACCCAGUGCAGCAUGUCCUCUAAAUAUCGCAUCAUUUGUAUAGGUCUUUGCUGCACCUUCAUCAGCCUUUCUACAUCCUUGAAACUAUACACACAGCUGGGAUGGGAUGUACAUGGCAGAGUAUCAUCUCUGCACCUGUGGCCCUGGGCUCCUCAGAGUGAUGGGAGAAAGGAACAGUUGUCUUUGUUUUGAGCUACCCCACAGCCCACGUUAGGAUGCAGUGUGUCACUUCCCAUGUGCACCUCAAGUGGUCAAAAGGAAAGCAGGACAGUCUGGUUCAGAUGCCUGUGUUCACUUCUAGCCAGGCUUGUGAUUUUGCCUUGUUAUGUUCUCACAGUUCACCUGUGUGUGCGCCAAAAUUGUCAUUUAGAACAUGGUAACUUCUGCGUGCCCAGACAAAUUAAAGGCAGAGCUGUUAAAGUAGCUACAUAAACACUUGAUUUUACAAUCUGUGGUUGGAGUAAUGACUGGUAAAACACCUGCAGCAGAGGUACAGCACAAUAAAACACAGAAUCAC